UUGGUAGAGAUUCCCCCAUUUACUAUGAGCUGUCCACACUCAGAAAUCCUUCCGAAUCAUGAAGUACCUCCCUAACCUUUGGCCUAUCCUGAGAUAUUCCUUCCUAGACUAUCCUCUGAGGGGCUGCUCCAGUUAGUUCAUCCAUUGCUCUGGUACUUAGGACUGAUGGGAUCCUUCAACUCUGUCUAUGAAGAGUGAAAAGUGGUCACAGACUCACAAGAUAGAUGAAAUAUAGAAUAAUAAUUAUGUUAUAAAAACAGCAAUAAGGUUGCUCUGGAUAGCACUAAGGAAGUUCUCUGGCAUUCCUUUUUCAGGUUUCUACCAUGAAGUAGAUGCUGUACACACCACCACUGAAGCUUCUACUUCUCUGCUCUACUGGCUUGUGUUUUGCUUUAUUUUUCAUAUAUUCCAGAAUAAAGGUCACAUAAGUGAUCAACCUGGCAAACACAAUGGCUGGCUGAAGACAUCAUU